rnacentral:rRNA from 1 species
GCUCAAAUUUGAAAUCUUCAAGGUUUUACCUUGACGAAUUGUAGUUUAAAGAAGUGUUUUCUGUUGGUGUUUUGGUAAAAGUUCUUUGGAAUAGGACAUCAUAGAGGGUGAGAAUCCCGUAUUUGACCAUUACUUCCAGCGUUGUGAUACACUUUCAAAGAGUCGGAUUGUUUGGGAAUGCAGUCCAAAAUGGGUGGUAAAUUUCAUCUAAAGCUAAAUAUUGGCGAGAGACCGAUAGCGAACAAGUACCGUGAGGGAAAGAUGAAAAGAACUUUGAAAAGAGAGUUAAACAGUACGUGAAAUUGUCAAAAGGGAAGCGUUUGACACCAGUGUUGUUUUCUCGAAAAUCAAUUAAAAAAAGUUGGAUUUUGUAUUGUUAAGACCUUAUCAGCUUACUGUACUCUUUUCUUGCUUUUUUUAAUGCACUUUUCGUUUAACAAG